UAGGGAAUCUUCGGCAAUGGGGGCAACCCUGACCGAGCAACGCCGCGUGAGUGAAGAAGGUUUUCGGAUCGUAAAGCUCUGUUGUAAGUCAAGAACGAGUGUGAGAGUGGAAAGUUCACACUGUGACGGUAGCUUACCAGAAAGGGACGGCUAACUACGUGCCAGCAGCCGCGGUAAUACGUAGGUCCCGAGCGUUGUCCGGAUUUAUUGGGCGUAAAGCGAGCGCGGGCGGUUUGAUAAGUCUGAAGUUAAAGGCUGUGGCUCAACCAUAGUUCGCUUUGGAAACUGUCAAACUUGAGUGCAGAAGGGGAGAGUGGAAUUCCAUGUGUAGCGGUGAAAUGCGUAGAUAUAUGGAGGAACACCGGUGGCGAAAGCGGCUCUCUGGUCUGUAACUGACGCUGAGGCUCGAAAGCGUGGGGAGCGAACAGGAUUAGAUACCCUGGUAGUCCACGCCGUAACGAUGAGUGCUAGGUGUUGGGUCCUUUCCGGGAUUCAGUGCCGCAGCUAACGCAUUAAGCACUCCGCCUGGGGAGUACGACCGCAAGGUU
rnacentral:rRNA from 1 species